UACGGUAGGGUGCGAGCGUUGUCCGGAAUUACUGGGCGUAAAGAGCUCGUAGGUGGUUUGUCGCGUUGUUCGUGAAAUCUCACGGCUUAACUGUGAGCGUGCGGGCGAUACGGGCAGACUUGAGUACUGCAGGGGAGACUGGAAUUCCUGGUGUAGCGGUGGAAUGCGCAGAUAUCAGGAGGAACACCGGUGGCGAAGGCGGGUCUCUGGGCAGUAACUGACGCUGAGGAGCGAAAGCGUGGGGAGCAAACAGG
rnacentral:rRNA from 1 species